UUUGCCCUACGGGGGGCAGCAGUGAGGAAUAUUGGUCAAUGGCCGAGAGGCUGAACCAGCCAAGUCGCGUGAGGGAUGACGGCCCUACGGGUUGUAAACCUCUUUUGUCGGGGAGCAAGACCCGCCUCGUGCAGGCGGAGCGAGAGUACCCGAAGAAAAAGCAUCGGCUAACUCCGUGCCAGCAGCCGCGGUAAUACGGAGGAUGCGAGCGUUAUCCGGAUUUAUUGGGUUUAAAGGGUGCGCAGGCGGACCAUCAAGUCAGCGGUAAAAUCGCGGGGCUCAACAUCACUCCGCCGUUGAAACUG
rnacentral:rRNA from 1 species